rnacentral:rRNA from 1 species
AUUGAACGCUGGCGGAAUGCUUUACACAUGCAAGUCGAGCGGCGGCACGGGGGCAACCCUGGUGGCGAGCGGCGAACGGGUGAGUAAUACAUCGGAACAUGCCCAGUCGUGGGGGAUAACACUUCGAAAGAAGUGCUAAUACCGCAUACGUCCUGAGGGGGAAAGCGGGGGAUCGCAAGACCUCGCGCGAUUGGAGUGGCCGAUGUCAGAUUAGCUAGUUGGUGGGGUAAAGGCCUACCAAGGCAACGAUCUGUAGCUGGUCUGAGAGGAUGAUCAGCCACACUGGGACUGAGACUCGGCCCAGACUCCUACGGGAGGCAGCAGUGGGGAAUUUUGGACAAAGGGGGCAACCCUGAUCCAGCCAUUCCGCGUGAGUGAAGAAGGCCUUCGGGUUGUAAAGCUCUUUCGGCAGGAACGAAACGGUGAGCUCUAACAUAGCUUGCUAAUGACGGUACCUGAAGAAGAAGCACCGGCUAACUACGUG